rnacentral:tRNA from 1 species
ACUAUUUUGGCAGAUUAAUGUAAUGGUUUUAGAAAUCAUAAAUAUAUAAUUAUUUAUAUAUGUAGUA